rnacentral:rRNA from 1 species
CAGUAGCCGCGGUAAUACGUAGGUGGCAAGCGUUGUCCGGAAUUAUUGGGCGUAAAGGGCUCGCAGGCGGUUUCUUAAGUCUGAUGUGAAAGCCCCCGGCUCAACCGGGGAGGGUCAUUGGAAACUGGGAAACUUGAGUGCAGAAGAGGAGAGUGGAAUUCCACGUGUAGCGGUGAAAUGCGUUGAGAUCGGAAAGAACACCAACGGCGAAAGCACUCUGCUGGGCCGACACUGACACUGAGAGACGAAAUCUAGGUGAGCAAAUGGGAUUAGAUACCCCGGUAGUCCCUGUCUCUUAUAA